rnacentral:rRNA from 1 species
UUAAGUUAGAAAGGGCGCACGGUGGAUGCCUUGACACUAGGAGUCGAUGAAGGACGGGACUAACGCCGAUAUGCUUCGGGGAGCUGUAAGUAAGCUUUGAUCCGAAGAUUUCCGAAUGGGGAAACCCACCAUACGUAAUGGUAUGGUAUCCUUAUCUGAAUACAUAGGGUAAGGAAGACAGACCCAGGGAACUGAAACAUCUAAGUACCUGGAGGAAGAGAAAGCAAAUGCGAUUUCCUGAGUAGCGGCGAGCGAAACGGAACAUAGCCCAAACCAAGAGGCUUGCCUCUUGGGGUUGUAGGACAUUCUAUACGGAGUUACAAAGGAACGAGGUAGACGAAGCGACCUGGAAAGGUCCGUCGUAGAGGGUAACAACCCCGUAGUCGAAACUUCGUUCUCUCUUGAAUGUAUCCUGAGUACGGCGGAACACGUGAAAUUCCGUCGGAAUCUGGGAGGACCAUCUCCCAAGGCUAAAUACUCCCUAGUGAUCGAUAGUGAACCAGUACCGUGAGGGAAAGGUGAAAAGCACCCCGGAAGGGGAGUGAAAGAGAUCCUGAAACCGUGUGCCUACAAAUAGUCAGAGCCCGUUAACGGGUGAUGGCGUGCCUUUUGUAGAAUGAACCGGCGAGUUACGAUCCCGUGCGAGGUUAAGCUGAAGAGGCGGAGCCGCAGCGAAAGCGAGUCUGAAUAGGGCGUUUAGUACGUGGUCGUAGACCCGAAACCAGGUGAUCUACCCAUGUCCAGGGUGAAGUUCAGGUAACACUGAAUGGAGGCCCGAACCCACGCACGUUGAAAAGUGCGGGGAUGAGGUGUGGGUAGCGGAGAAAUUCCAAUCGAACCUGGAGAUAGCUGGUUCUCCCCGAAAUAGCUUUAGGGCUAGCCUUAAGUGUAAGAGUCUUGGAGGUAGAGCACUGAUUGGACUAGGGGUCCUCAUCGGAUUACCGAAUUCAGUCAAACUCCGAAUGCCAAUGACUUAUCCUUAGGAGUCAGACUGCGAGUGAUAAGAUCCGUAGUCAAAAGGGAAACAGCCCAGACCGCCAGCUAAGGUCCCAAAGUGUGUAUUAAGUGGAAAAGGAUGUGGAGUUGCUUAGACAACUAGGAUGUUGGCUUAGAAGCAGCCACCAUUUAAAGAGUGCGUAAUAGCUCACUAGUCGAGUGACUCUGCGCCGAAAAUGUACCGGGGCUAAAUACACCACCGAAGCUGCGGAUUGAUACCGAAUGGUAUCAGUGGUAGGGGAGCGUUCUAAGGACAGUGAAGUCAGACCGUAAGGACUGGUGGAGUGCUUAGAAGUGAGAAUGCCGGUAUGAGUAGCGAAAGACGGGUGAGAAUCCCGUCCACCGAAUGCCUAAGGUUUCCUGAGGAAGGCUCGUCCGCUCAGGGUUAGUCAGGACCUAAGCCGAGGCCGACAGGCGUAGGCGAUGGACAACAGGUUGAUAUUCCUGUACCACCUCUUUAUCGUUUGAGCAAUGGAGGGACGCAGAAGGAUAGAAGAAGCGUGCGAUUGGUUGUGCACGUCCAAGCAGUUAGGCUGAUAAGUAGGCAAAUCCGCUUAUCAUGAAGGCUGAGCUGUGAUGGGGAAGCUCCUUAUGGAGCGAAGUCUUUGAUUCCCCGCUGCCAAGAAAAGCUUCUAGCGAGAUAAAAGGUGCCUGUACCGCAAACCGACACAGGUAGGCGAGGAGAGAAUCCUAAGGUGUGCGAGAGAACUCUGGUUAAGGAACUCGGCAAAAUGACCCCGUAACUUCGGGAGAAGGGGUGCUUUCUUAACGGAAAGCCGCAGUGAAUAGGCCCAAGCGACUGUUUAGCAAAAACACAGCUCUCUGCGAAGCCGUAAGGCGAAGUAUAGGGGGUGACACCUGCCCGGUGCUGGAAGGUUAAGGAGAGGGGUUAGCGUAAGCGAAGCUCUGAACUGAAGCCCCAGUAAACGGCGGCCGUAACUAUAACGGUCCUAAGGUAGCGAAAUUCCUUGUCGGGUAAGUUCCGACCCGCACGAAAGGUGUAACGAUUUGGGCACUGUCUCAACCAGAGACUCGGUGAAAUUAUAGUACCUGUGAAGAUGCAGGUUACCCGCGACAGGACGGAAAGACCCCGUGGAGCUUUACUGUAGCCUGAUAUUGAAUUUUGGUACAGUUUGUACAGGAUAGGCGGGAGCCAUUGAAACCGGAGCGCUAGCUUCGGUGGAGGCGCUGGUGGGAUACCGCCCUGACUGUAUUGAAAUUCUAACCUACGGGUCUUAUCGACCCGGGAGACAGUGUCAGGUGGGCAGUUUGACUGGGGCGGUCGCCUCCUAAAGUGUAACGGAGGCGCCCAAAGGUUCCCUCAGAAUGGUUGGAAAUCAUUCGUAGAGUGCAAAGGCAUAAGGGAGCUUGACUGCGAGACCUACAAGUCGAGCAGGGACGAAAGUCGGGCUUAGUGAUCCGGUGGUUCCGCAUGGAAGGGCCAUCGCUCAACGGAUAAAAGCUACCCCGGGGAUAACAGGCUUAUCUCCCCCAAGCCACAUCGACGGGGAGGUUUGGCACCUCGAUGUCGGCUCAUCGCAUCCUGGGGCUGUAGUCGGUCCCAAGGGUUGGGCUGUUCGCCCAUUAAAGCGG